rnacentral:rRNA from 1 species
ACGUAGGGGGCGAGCGUUGUCCGGAAUCACUGGGCGUAAAGCGCGCGCGGGUGGUUCUGUAAUUGUGGAGGGAAAGAUAGGGGAUCAACCCGUGCAGGUCGGUCGAUACCGCGGGACUGGAGUAUGGGAGAGGAAAGCGGAAUUCCCGGUGUAGCGGUGAAAUGCGUAGAUAUCGGGAGGAACGCCAGUGGCGAAGGCGGCUUUCUGGCCCAUCACUGACACUGAGGCGCGAAAGCCGGGGGAGCGAACGG